UACAGAGGUGGCAAGCGUUGUUCGGAAUUACUGGGCGUAAAGGGCGCGUAGGCGGCCUUCUAAGUCAGACGUGAAAUCCCCCGGCUUAACCUGGGAACUGCGUCUGAUACUGGGAGGCUUGAGUAUGGGAGAGGCGCGUGGAAUUGCAGGUGUAGCGGUGAAAUGCGUAGAUAUCCGCAGGAACACCAGUGGCGAAAGCGGCGCGCUGGACCACUACUGACGCUGAGGAACGAAAGCUAGGGGAGCAAACAGG
rnacentral:rRNA from 1 species